rnacentral:tRNA from 1 species
CGGGCAGUAGUUCAACGGCAGAACAGCGUGAAGAGUUGCGCAGAAUGAAAAUCCUGCCUACAGCAAAAGCUCUCACAUGGGCACGCAAAUGGUGGUUCAAUUCCAUCCUGCCUGA